GCGGAUGUGGUGAAAUUGGUAGACGCAACGGAUUCAAAAUCCGUCUUUGGCAACGAAGUGUCGGUUCGAGUCCGACCAUCCGCACCA
rnacentral:tRNA from 1 species